UUCUUCGUUCAAGAGGAGAAGACCCCGGAAUCUAACUGCAGAGGGAGAGGCGAGCAAGCAACCCAGAACUUGCUAUAAGCAUCCAGAUGAAAACCACCUAAGGUGUAAUGGACCCCUAUGGAACUUCCUGGAGAACAUAAAGAGAAGGAAAAUGUGACCUACAUUUAUUCUGUGGGAUUUGAGUAUUGUGAAUUCCUUUGUUUUCUUAUCUGGACUGGUGGCAUGAUAAAGACUCUCAUCUCAGUAGAGCAAUUUCAAGGAGAUAAAUUCUUCUCACCUUCGGUGUUUUGUAAAGAAUUUCUUAUGUGCAGCAAGAUGCCCCAGAAGAGUUUGGUUGGAAGCUGCUUCAUGGGGAAAUAUGCAGGUCUUUGA
rnacentral:lncRNA from 1 species